rnacentral:rRNA from 1 species
UACGUAGGGCGCGAGCGUUGUCCGGAAUUAUUGGGCGUAAAGAGCUCGUAGGCGGCCUGUUGCGUCCGCUGUGAAAUCCCAGGGCUCAACCCUGGGCGUGCAGUGGAUACCGGCAGGCUGGAGGCAGGCAGGGGAGAACGGAAUUCCCGGUGUAGCAGUGAAAUGCGUAGAGAUCGGGAGGAACACCAGUGGCGAAGGCGGCCUUCUGGACCAAUACUGACGCUCAUGCACGAAAGCGUGGGGAGCAAACAGG